rnacentral:rRNA from 1 species
CCCUUAGAUGUUCUGGGCCGCACGCGCGCUACACUGAAUGGAUCAACGUGUUUUCCCUUCCCGAGAGGGACGGGUAACCCGCUGAACCCCAUUCGUGGUAGGGAUCGGAGCUUGCAAUUGUUCUCCGUGAACCAGGAAUUCCCAGUAAGCGCAAGUCAUAAGCUUGCGUUGAUUACGUCCCUGCCCUUUGUACACACCGCCCGUCGCUCCUACCGAUUGAGCGAUCCGGUGAAUUAUUUGGAGUGUCCACGCAAGCCAAUCCGUUUACGUGGGUGCGAAAUUUUGUAAACCUUAUCGCUUAGAGGAAGGAAAAGUCGUAACA